rnacentral:lncRNA from 1 species
GUUGCAGUUCCCUGCUUGAACUGCAUACAAAGGCUCUUCCUGGCUCUCUGCCGUCAUUCAGCUAUCUGUGGUGUGUCAGGGAGUGUGUGUGCAUGAGUGUGAUUGUGGCCUGCCCAAACACUUUCCUCUCUGGAGAUGCUUUGGGGAGGGUAGUGUCACCUGAUCACCUCUACCCAACGCUGCACUAGAGGUCCUUUCUACCCUCAACCAUCUUGUGAUUCUCUCAUCAAAUCAGCCAAGAGCUCUUCCUUACUCAGCUGCUUCAUCUGUUUUUAUUCAUGUUUAUGGGGAUCAUGUUCAGCAUCCUUCCACUGUCUUCAUGAAAUUCAUUCCAAGUCUAGUUUUACUUGGGGAUAGAGAUUGCAUCUCCUGCUUUGUUUGGGCUCUUUGACCUACGUGGAGUGAGUUGCUCCAGCUGAUACGAUUAUCUCAGUAUUUACCCCAGCUAAGGGCUGGCCUUCAUCACCUUCAGCAGGGAGGGUGCCUCUUCAGCUUGUCUGAUCCAGCACUGACCUGUCUGCUGUCAGGAAAACCCACAGAAGUAUGGGCCUGGCUCAGAGGAUCACAACCAACAAGCAAUACUCUGCCUGGAGGAUGCAACAAGAUAGGCACUGCAGGGGUCUGUCUUUAGGCCUGUGCUGCCUGACAUCGUUCUGAAUACCUGAAGGAGGUGCCAAAGGGCACC